rnacentral:rRNA from 1 species
CGAUUGGAAGGUUGUGUUCCCUUGAAGAAGUGGUCUUCCGGAGCUAAUCGACGGUUGAAGUCGACCGGCCUGGGUGAGUAACGGCCGCAAGGUUAAAAACUCAAAUGAAUUGACGGGGCCCGCACAAAGCGGUGGAGCAUGUGGUUUAAUUCCGAAGCAACGCGAAGAACCUUACCUACUCUUGACAUCCAGAGAACUUUCCAGAGAUGGAUUGGUGCCUUCGGGAACUCUGAGACAGGUGCUGCAUGGCUGUCGUCAGCUCGUGUUGUGAAAUGUUGGGUUAAGUCCCGCAACGAGCGCAACCCUUAUCCUUUGUUGCCAGCGAUUCGGUCGGGAACUCAAAGGAGACUGCCGGUGAUAAACCGGAGGAAGGUGGGGAUGACGUCAAGUCAUCAUGGCCCUUACGAGUAGGGCUACACACGUGCUACAAUGGCGCAUACAAAGAGAAGCGACCUCGCGAGAGCAAGCGGACCUCACAAAGUGCGUCGUAGUCCGGAUCGGAGUCUGCAACUCGACUCCGUGAAGUCGGAAUCGCUAGUAAUCGUGGAUCAGAAUGCCACGGUGAAUACGUUCCCGGGCCUUGUACACACCGCCC